GGAUGAAGAACGUAGCGAAAUGCGAUAAGUAGUGUGAAUUGCAGAAUUACCUGAAUCAUCGAAUCUUUGAACGCACAUUGCGCCCCCUGGUAUUCCUGGGGGCAUGCCUGUUCGAGCGUCAUUAACAACCAAUCGGGCGGGGCUUUGCAUGCUCCCGCUCGGCCAUGGGGGAUGGACGUCGUCGGACGCCCACCCCCGAAAUGCAACGGCGGACGGCCACCCGUGGCACUGCGGCGUAGUAAGUUAACCCUUCGCGCGCGCCCACGGAGUGGACUGCCCGGCCGCUUGAACCCCCCCACAUCCUACGGUUGACCUCGGAUCAGGUAGGGAUACCCGCUGAACUUAAGCAUAUCAAUAAGCGGAGGA
rnacentral:misc_RNA from 1 species